rnacentral:lncRNA from 1 species
UGAAUUUGAUUUAGAGACAUCAGCAAAGGAGUGACACGGCUUCCCUAGCAUGGUUGUCUAUGCCAGUUCAGAUUCCGACCCCACACAUUGCUGAAAUGAGCCAACGUCAAGCCAGAGCUUGCACAAGGAAACAAGGAAACCUCAUUGAAUUUAGUGCUGGAUAAUUUUACUGGAUCUGAAAACAGAACAGAUUCUGCUCAGCACAACACAUGCAGUGGCAGAAAGGCAUCCUCCAAACGCCCUGGACAUCCUGAGCUGAAGAGACCUUCUCUAGGGGUGAAACAGUGCUUUGGUCUCGGUGCUAAUUCAGCCCUUGUCCUCUCUGCUGUGACUGCCAACAACCGUAUCAAUUAGUCGUACCAAUUGUGAUGGUGAUUUCUGUGAUGCGAACACCUGUCCUCUAGGAACUGGGCGAAGGCGACCAAACAGUUGUCAGAUGGUAAGUGUAAUGCUAAUUGAUCCAAUCCAUAGAUCUGUCUCUAUAUAAUGCUUAGUGCCAGAAAGUUACACAGCCAGACAUCUGGCAACUAGAUGACCGUCUAACUCUCUAUCAGUUUGACUUUGGCAGGCAACAAAGUUGGUCUAGUUGUGUAUGCUGUGGGCAGCUUAAGAAAGUUAAAGCAUUGUUUUGUGCCUGUUGAAGGCCUCUCUUGCUUGCUCUUUAUUAAAAUUAUAAUGCUACAGUGACCUCUGGUCAGUACCAACCUGCCUCAGAUGUGAACUGAUGACCUAGGAGUGAAAGGUUCCUUACCCAGUUAAUCCAGUUGUGC